rnacentral:rRNA from 1 species
ACAAGUAAAUAAGUGCACAUGGUGAAUGCCUUGGCGAUUACAGGCGAUGAAGGACGUAGUAGCUUGCGAUAAGCUGCGGUGAGCUGGGCAGACUUGCUUUGAUCCGCAGAUUUCCGAAUGGGAAAACCCAUCUUUAUUUAUAAAGAUAUUACAUAUUGAAUAUAUAAAUAUGUAAAGCUAACGUAGCGAACUAAAACAUUUAAGUAGCUAUAGGAAAAGAAAUCAACAGAGAUUCCCAAAGUAGUGGCGAGCGAAAUGGGAGAAGCUUGCAAAAUUUAAUAUUAUUAAUAGUAGAAAGCUAUGGAAAGAGCUGCCAUAGAAGGUGAUAGCCCAUUAUAUUAAAUUUAUAAUAUGGAACUAAGUUUGCAAAAAAGUAAGACGAGACACGUGUAAUCUUGUCUGAAUAAGGGGGGACCAUCCUCCAAAGCUAAAUACUCGUAAUCGACCGAUAGUGAAUUAGUACCGUGAGGGAAAGGUGAAAAGAACCCCGGGAGGGGAGUGAAAUAGAUUCUGAAACCAUGUGCAUACAAACAGUAGGAGCAGAUUUAUUCUGUGACUGCGUACCUUUUGUAUAAUGGGUCAGCGACUUAUAUUCAGUGGCAAGCUUAACCGAAAAUAGGGGAGGCGCAGAGAAAUCGAGUCCGAACAGGGCGAAUUAGUCUCUGGAUAUAGACCCGAAACCAAGUGAUCUACUUAUGGCCAGAUUGAAGGUGCGGUAACACGUACUGGAGGAUCGAACCCACUAAUGUUGAAAAAUUAGGGGAUGAGCUGUGAGUAGGGGUGAAAGGCCAAACAAACUUGGAAAUAGCUGGUUCUCUCCGAAAACUAUUUAGGUAGUGCCUUAAGUAUUACCAUUGGGGGUAGAGCACUGUUAUGGCUAGGGGGUUAUCAUGACUUACUAAACCAUUGCAAACUACGAAUACCAAUGAGUAUUAGCUUAGGAGACAGACGCCGGGUGCUAACGUCCGACGUCAAGAGGGAAACAACCCAGACCGCCAGCUAAGGUCCCUAAGAUUGGCUAAGUGGAAAACGAAGUGGGAAGGCUAAGACAGUCAGGAAGUUGGCUUAGAAGCAGCCAUCUUUUAAAGAAAGCGUAAUAGCUCACUGAUCAAGUCGUCCUGCGCGGAAAAUGUAACGGGGCUAAGCCAAUCACCGAAGCUGCGGAUAUCAAUUUAGUUGAUAUGGUAGGAGAGCGUUCUGUAAAUCUGCGAAGGUAUUUUGUAAAAAAUACUGGAGAUAUCAGAAGUGCGAAUGCUGACAUGAGUAACGAUAAUGAAGGUGAAAAACCUUCACGCCGUAAGCCUAAGGUUUCCUGUUCAACGUUAAUCGGAGCAGGGUUAGUCGGCCCCUAAGGUGAGGCAGAAAUGCGUAGUCGAUGGGAAUAAGGUUAAUAUUCCUUUACCUAUUUUAGGUGCGAAGGGGGGACGAAUUAUUAAAGAUUGUCCAGGUGUUGGAAGUCCUGGUAUCUAUAUUGUAGAAGGUUAUUAGGAAAAUCCGGUAACAUAAUUCAAGGGUAUGGAUCAAGUGAUAUUUUUCAUAAAGCAAUCGGAAGUAGUUCCAAGAAAAGCCUCUAAGCUUAAGUCUAAAAAGACCGUACUAUAAACCGACACAGGUGGGCGAGAUGAAUAUUCUAAGGCGCUUGAGAGAACUCGAGAGAAGGAACUCGGCAAAUUUGUACCGUAACUUCGGAAUAAGGUACACCUUAUUAUUUGACUAGUUUAACACUAGAAGGAUGAAAAGGUUGCAAUAAAAUGGUGGCUGCGACUGUUUAAUAAAAACACAGCACUAUGCAAACAUGAAAAUGGACGUAUAUGGUGUGACUCCUGCCCGGUGCUGGAAGAUUAAAUGAUGGAGUGCAAGCUCUUGAUUGAAGUCCCAGUAAACGGCGGCCGUAACUAUAACGGUCCUAAGGUAGCGAAAUUCCUUGUCGGGUAAGUUCCGACCUGCACGAAUGGAGUAACGAUGGCCACACUGUCUCCUCUCGAGACUCAGUGAAAUUGAAAUGUUUGUGAUGAUGCAAACUACCCGCGGCUAGACGGAAAGACCCCAUGAACCUUUACUGUAGCUUUGCAUUGGACUUUGAACCGAUCUGUGUAGGAUAGGUGGGAGGCUAU